UACGAAGGGGGCGAGCGUUGUUCGGAUUUACUGGGCGUAAAGGGCGCGCAGGCGGCUUAUUUUGUCAGGCGUGAAAGCCCCGGGCUUAACCUGGGAACUGCGUUUGAUACGGAUGGGCUAGAGUUCGGGAGAGGAGAGUGGAAUUCCCAGUGUAGAGGUGAAAUUCGUAGAUAUUGGGAGGAACACCUGUGGCGAAAGCGGCGCACUGGACCACAACUGACGCUGAGGCGCGAAAGCUAGGGGAGCAAACAGG
rnacentral:rRNA from 1 species